ensembl:lncRNA
UUUUUUCUUUUUUUUUUUUUUUUUUUUGAGACACAGUUUUGCUCUGUCCCCUAGGUGGGAGUGCAAUGUCACAAUCUUGGCUCACUGCAAUCUCUGCCUCCUAGGUUCAAGAGAUUGUCCUGUCUCAGUCUCCCAAGUAGCUGGGAUUACAAGUGUGUGUCACCACACCUGGCUAAUUUUUGUAUAUUUAGUAGAGGUGGGUUUUCAUGUUGGCCAGGCUGGUCUUGAACUCCUGACCUCAGGAGAUCCGCCCGCCUCGGCCUCCCAAAAUGCUGGGAUUACAGGCAUGAGCCACUGUGCCCGGCCAAUAUGCCAUUUUUCAACCCUUAUCUCCCUCCCUCCCUCCCUCCUCUCAUCAUCCCCAGUGUCUAUUGUUGCCGUCUUUAUGUCCAUGUGUACCUAUAAUGUUUAGCUCCCACUCAGAAGUGAGGGCAUAUGGUAUUUGAUUUUCUGUUUCUAUGUUAAUUUGCUUCAGAUAAUGGCCUCCAGCUAUAUUCAUGUUACUGCAAAGGACAUGAUUUCUUUUUUUUUUUUUUUUGAGACGGAGUCCCACUCUGUCGCCCAGGCUGGAGUGCAGUGGCACGAUCUUGGCUCACUGUGACCUCUGCCUCCCAGAUUGCAAUACAAGCAAUCCUCCUGCCUCAGCCUCCUGAGUGGCUGGGACUACAGGUGUGCACCACCACACCCAGCUAAUUUUUGUAUUUUUGGCAGCCACAGGGUUUCACUAUGUUGGCCAGCCUGGUCUUGAACUCCUGACCUCAGGUGAUCCACCUGCCUUUGCCUCCCAAAGUGCUGGGAGUAUAGGAGUGAGCCACUACGCCCAGCCAAUUUCAUUAUUUUUAUGGCUACACUGUAUCCCAUGGUGUAUAUGUACCACAUUUUCUUUAUCCAAUCCACCACUGAUGGGCACCUAAAUUGAUUCAUUGUCUUUGCUAUGGUGAAUAGUGCUACGAUAAGCAUACAAGUGUGUUGGAGGCCGAAAGAAUGAGGGUCGUGAUCAACUCAGUAUACCACUGAAGGCUAUAGAGCAAACAGCAAACUGUUCUCAUAAAUGCAGAAUGUUGGCAAAAAACUGACAAACUGCAUCUGCCGCCCAGAAGGAAUGCUGAGGGCAGUCACGCCCCAGGCACAGUGUUUGUGAUUAUCUACAGGCAUACCUGAAGCCUGUUAGCAAUCAUGUGAACCUGUGAUAAAUCAAGCAGCUGACCAAUGGUUACCUGCUCCUCCCUGCUCUUUCUGCCCAAUAAAUAUGGAGGGCUGUGGAAGCUCAGGGCCCUUGCUCACUAGAGGCAAGGAGCCCCCUGACCCCUUCUUUAAAACAGAUUCUUUUGUCUUAAGUUUUAAUUUCUGCGUUCGUCCUCUUUUGUUCAGUCCUGUAGUAACUGUCACAAGUGGCACCCAAACAGGGAUGGACAGGGACAGACAGGGACAGAUAGAGACUAGCAGGGACUUGCAGAGAUUAGCAGAGACAGACAGGGACAUGAACGAGGAACGUCUGCUGGAGCAGAGAAAGUGAAACUGACCAGAUGAACGAGAAACCCCAGGACGAGUCUGCCGGCAGUGGAUAUAAGGUCAGUGACCUAAAGAGGUACUGGGAGUGGGAAGUUUCUGAAUCAGGGUAACAUGGGCAGAAUUUGUUCAUUAUUUCUGUUUUUUCUGUUUGGAGUUUGGUCUGU